rnacentral:sRNA from 1 species
GUGAAAUCCGUUCUUCGAACGGGUGAAAUAUUGCCUUGCAAUGUGAAAUAUGGCUCCGCCAUGUGAAAUC